rnacentral:lncRNA from 1 species
CUCUCUUUCCUAUCUAUAACUCUUAAAACUUUUCUACUUUAACUUGUUUGAAAUUGUCUUGUUUUUUGUGAUCUAUGUACUUUUUUUGUAUUUCUCCUUCAUCUAGAGAUAGUUCUCUAUUUACUCUAAUAGUUUUCAUCUUUCUAAUAAAUCUUAUAUUGUUUCUUAGGUUUCUGAAGGUCCCCAUAUUGUUGUCUACUGUUUAAAGGUAUACUUUGAUUCUCUUUAUGUUUCCUUUUCUACAUUACUUCUUCAUUGUCUUUAUCUACUUGUGUCAGUUUAUGCCACUUUUUGAAUGAUAUAUAGAUCCACUAUUUCAUUCGAUGCCAUCAUGUAUUAAGGGUAUAUUAUUGUCCAUUGUAUUUGGUUACUGUGAAAGUGUACUAACAUUGCUUUAAAUUGUUUGUCCAAUAUGUAGAGGA